rnacentral:rRNA from 1 species
GUCGAGCGAGUCUGCCUUGAAGAUCGGAGUGCUUGCACUCUGUGAAACAAGAUACAGGCUAGCGGCGGACGGGUGAGUAACACGUGGGUAACCUGCCCCAAGAGAUCGGGGAUAACACCUGGAAACAGAUGCUAAUACCCGGAUAACAACAGAUGAUGCCUAUCAACUGUUUAAAAGAUGGUUCUGCUAUCACUCUUGGGAUGGACCUGCGGUGCAUUAGCUAGUUGGUAGGGUAACGGCCUACCAAGGCGAUGAUGCAUAGCCGAGUUGAGAGACUGAUCGGCCACAUUGGGACUCCGAGACACGGCCCAAACUCCUACGGGAGGCAGCAGUAGGGAAAUCUUCCACAAUGGACGCAAGUCUGAUGGAGCAACGCCGCGUGAGUGAAGAAGGGUUUCGGCUCGUAAAGCUCUGUUGUUGGUGAAGAAGGACAGGGGUAGUAACUGACCUUUGUUUGACGGUAAUCAAUUAGAAAGUCACGGCUAACUACGUGCCCAGCAGCCGCGGGUAAU